GAUGAACGCUGGCGGCGUGCCUAAUACAUGCAAGUCGAGCGAAUGGAUUAAGAGCUUGCUCUUAUGAAGUUAGCGGCGGACGGGUGAGUAACACGUGGGUAACCUGCCCAUAAGACUGGGAUAACUCCGGGAAACCGGGGCUAAUACCGGAUAACAUUUUGAACCGCAUGGUUCGAAAUUGAAAGGCGGCUUCGGCUGUCACUUAUGGAUGGACCCGCGUCGGCAUUAGCUAGUUGGUGAGGUAACGGCUCACCAAGGCAACGAUGCGUAGCCGGCAUGAGAGGGUGGUGGGCCACACAGGGACUGAGACACGGCCCAGACUCCUACGGGAGGCAGCAGUAGGGAAUCUUCCGCAAUGGACGAAAGUCUGACGGAGCAACGCCGCGUGAGUGAUGAAGGCUUUCGGGUCGUAAAACUCUGUUGUUAGGGAAGAACAAGUGCUAGUUGAAUAAGCUGGCACCUCGACGGUACCUAACCAGAAAGCCACGGCUAACUACGUGCCAGCCGCCGCGGUAA
rnacentral:rRNA from 1 species